rnacentral:rRNA from 1 species
UACAGGGGUGCAACGUUGCUCGGAAUCAUUGGCGUAAAGCGCACGUAGGCGGUUCGUUAUGUCGGAUGUGAAAGCCUUGGCUUAACCGAGGAAGUGCAUCCGAACUGGCGAGCGUAGAGUACGAAAGAGGAUCGCGGAAUUCCGGUGUAGAGGUGAAAUCGUAGAUAUCGGGAGGAACACCGGCGGCGAAGGCGGAGCCAACUGGACGAACACUGACGCGUGAGAGAGAAAGCGGUGG